CACGUAGGGGACGAGCGUUGUCCGGAUUCAUUGGGCGUAAAGCGCGCGUAGGCGGGAUGGCAAGUCGGUCGUGAAAUCCCUGGGCUCAACUCAGGGGGGUCGGCCGAUACUGCCGUUCUUGAGGGAUGCAGAGGAGACUGGAAUUCCCGGUGUAGCGGUGAAAUGUGUAGAGAUCGGGAGGAACACCGGUGGCGAAGGCGGGUCUCUGGGCAUUCCCUGACGCUGAGGCGCGAAAGCGUGGGGAGCAAACGGG
rnacentral:rRNA from 1 species